rnacentral:rRNA from 1 species
UACGUAGGGUGCAAGCGUUGUCCGGAAUUAUUGGGCGUAAAGAGCUCGUAGGCGGUCUGUCGCGUCGGAUGUGAAAACUCGGGGCUCAACCCCGAGCCUGCAUUCGAUACGGGCAGACUAGAGUUCGGUAGGGGAGACUGGAAUUCCUGGUGUAGCGGUGAAAUGCGCAGAUAUCAGGAGGAACACCGGUGGCGAAGGCGGGUCUCUGGGCCGAUACUGACGCUGAGGAGCGAAAGCGUGGGGAGCGAGCAGG